AUUUGAGUAGUUUAAAUAAAAUUGAAAUUUGUGGUGUUUCAGAUACUAUACAGUCUUGAGUU
rnacentral:tRNA from 1 species